rnacentral:rRNA from 1 species
GACGUAGGGCGCGAGCGUUGUCCGGAAUCACUGGGCGUAAAGGGCGCGUAGGCGGCGCGGGCAGUCAACGGUGAAAGCUUGGGGCUCAACCCCGAGUCGGCCGUCGAUACUCCCGGGCUGGAGCACUGUAGAGGCAGGUGGAAUUCCGGGUGUAGCGGUGGAAUGCGUAGAGAUCCGGAAGAACACCGGUGGCGAAGGCGGCCUGCUGGGCAGUAGCUGACGCUGAGGCGCGACAGCGUGGGGAGCAACAGG